UCGCCUGUUUAUCAAAAACAUCGCCUCUUGAUUAACAUAAGAGGUCCAGCCUGCCCAGUGACAAAGUUUAACGGCCGCGGUACCCUAACCGUGCAAAGGUAGCAUAAUCACUUGUUCUUUAAAUAGGGACUCGUAUCAACGGCAUCACGAGGGCUAUACUGUCUCCUCCCUCCAAUCAGUGAAACUGAUCUCCCCGUGAAGAAGCGGGGAUUUAAUUAUAAGACGAGAAGACCCCAUGGAGCUUUAAGCAACAUAUUUACCUUCAUAUAUUUACACCAACUUAAUAAAAAGAACUAAAUACUAGCUUUAGGUUGGGGGGACCGCGGAGUACAAUUUAACCUCCACGACAAACGGGCUAUGCCCUUAUCCACGAGCCACAACUCUAAGAAUCAAUAAACUGAUGUUUAAUGACCCGAUAUUUCGAUCAACGAACCAAGUUACCCUGGGGAUAACAGCGCAAUCUACUUCAAGAGCCCCUAUCGACAAGUAGGUUUACGACCUCGAUGUUGGAUCAGGGUAUCCCAGUGGUGCAGCCGCUACUAAAGGUUCGUUUGUUCAACGAUUAAAACCCUA
rnacentral:rRNA from 1 species